UCCCAGUGAUGAAACAUUUAGUAAUCUGAAAUGUGUGGGUGCUCCCUUUUGCUAAUAAAGAAGGUUGAGGAACCAUGGCAUUUGUUUACCCAUGUGGAUACUAGGCAUUCUGAGGGAU